UAAUAGAAAAGGCCUAAUCUGACGAUCUAG
rnacentral:piRNA from 1 species